rnacentral:rRNA from 1 species
AUUGAACGCUGGCGGCAGGCCUAACACAUGCAAGUCGAGCGGAUGAAGGGAGCUUUCUCCUGGAUUCAGCUGCGGACGGGUGAGUAAUUCCUAGGAAGCUGCCUGGUCUUGGAGGAUGACGUCCCUACACGGGCGCUAAUACCGCAUACGUCCUUAGGUAGAACGUGGGGGAUCUUCGGACAUCGCGCUAUCAGAUGAGCCUAGGUCGGAUUAGCUAGUUGGUGGGGUAAAGGCCUACCAAGGCGACGAUCCGUAACUGGUCUGAGAGGAUGAUCAGUCACACUGGAACUGAGACACGGUCCAGACUCCUACGGGAGGCAGCAGUGGGGAAUAUUGGACAAUGGGCGAAAGCCUGAUCCAGCCAUGCCGCGUGUGUGAAGAAGGUCUUCGGAUUGUAAAGCACUUUAAGUUGGGAAGAAGGGCAGUAAGUUAAUACCUUGCUGUUUUGACGUUACCAACAGAAUAAGCACCGGCUAACUUCGUG